rnacentral:rRNA from 1 species
UACGUAGGGUGCGAGCGUUGUCCGGAAUUAUUGGGCGUAAAGAGCUCGUAGGCGGCUUAUCGCGUCGGAUGUGAAAGCCCGGGGCUUAACUUCGGGUCUGCAUUCGAUACGGGCAGGCUAGAGUUCGGUAGGGGAGAUCGGAAUUCCUGGUGUAGCGGUGAAAUGCGCAGAUAUCAGGAGGAACACCGGUGGCGAAGGCGGAUCUCUGGGCCGAUACUGACGCUGAGGAGCGAAAGCGUGGGGAGCGAACAGG